GGAUCCAGGCUUGCUAAGAGCUGUUUAGAUCCUGGCAAUUUCUAACCACCUGGAAAGACUUCUAAGAUGAAUGAUGGUGACAGACCACAUGGGCAUCUUUUGAGAACCAGACAGUGCCACAGAACAAUUAUAAUGAAUAUGAGAUGACUAGAGAGAACCAGGAAGGACAUCAUGCAGAAGAGGUUACCAGAGCUGUAUCAUGUAUCAUGGAGGAAGCUAGGAAUUCUACGGGGUAGCAAUAAGAAGGAAGUAUGUUGCAGAUGGGGCAGACCACUUUCACAAAGAGAACAGAGAUGGGAGACAGAAUGUGGAUGGAGAAGCUAGAACAGUUUGGAAGAAAGAGUGCAUGAAGAGGAUUAAUAUAAAAUUAGGCAAGCAAUUAGGGCAGCUAAGUGGUGCAACCUGGACUUGUUCAAAUCUGGCCUCAUACUUACUAGUUGUGUGACCCUGGGAAAGUCACUUAAACCUGUUUGCCUCAGUUUCCUCAUCUGUAAAAUGAACUGGAAAAAGAAUGGCAAACUACUACAGUAUCUUUGCCAAGAAAACUUCAAAUGGGGUCAUGAAGACUUGAAUACACCAGAAAGGACUGAAUAGCAACAGCAAUGUUGUGCAAAAGGAACCAGAGUGGGAAGGGCUUUAAAUACAGGUCAAAGGAUUUUUUUUUGUUUUAUCCCAAAGGCAAUAUUGAGUUAUUGAAAAUAUUUCUGUAGUGAGGGAUGACUUGACCAGAUCUAUGCACUUUGGAAAUAUCAUGAAAGAUGGAUUAUAAAGAAGAAAAAAGAGAUAAGGAGACUAAAACUCCUACCCCAUUCACUUGAGAAUUCCUAGUGAAGAUUCUAAUUUAAAGGUAACAGUUGUAUAUUGAACACCUAUCUUCCGAAAAACAUUGAAUGAGAUCAAAGAUAUCCAAACAAAAGAGUGGUACCCAUUCAGCUGGCUUUACAAUGAUCCCAAUUAAAAAAUCAUCUUGCAUUUAUUUUGCCAAAAUUUACAUUUAUGUAUAUGUAUACACAUCUCCCCUGAUUAAACGUAUGCUUCUUAAGUUUAUUCAUUGUUUCAUUUUUGUCCUUGUAUUUCCAGUGCCAGGCACAGAGCUUGGCAUAUGUUAGACACUUAAUAAAGCUUGAUUGAUAAACUGA